CCCUUAGAUGUUCUGGGCCGCACGCGCGCUACACUGACGAAGUCAGCGAGCAUGUCCUACGCCGACAGGUGCGGGGAAUCUUGUCAAACUUCGUCGUGAUGGGGAUUGAUUAUUGAAAUUCUUGAUCAUCAACGAGGAAUUCCUAGUAAGCGCAAGUCAGCAGCUUGCGUUGAUUACGUCCCUGCCCUUUGUACACACCGCCCGUCGCUACUACCGAUUGAAUGGUUUAGUGAGAUCUUCGGAUUGGCGCCACUGCGGCUCAGCAAUGGGCUCGGUGGAUGCCGAAAAGUUGAUCAAACUUGAUCAUUUAGUGGAAGUAAAAGUCGUAACA
rnacentral:rRNA from 1 species